UACAGAGGUGGCAAGCGUUGUUCGGAAUUACUGGGCGUAAAGGGCGCGUAGGCGGUCCCGUCAGUCCCUUGUGAAAUCCCCCGGCUCAACUGGGGAACUGCAAGGGAUACAGCGGGGCUUGAGUUCGGGAGAGGGAAGCGGAAUUCCGGGUGUAGCGGUGAAAUGCGUAGAUAUCCGGAGGAACACCGGUGGCGAAGGUGGCUUCCUGGACCGAUACUGACGCUGAGGUGCGAAAGCGUGGGGAGCAAACAGG
rnacentral:rRNA from 1 species